UAUCCCAAACCCAGGUGAACACGAACUUGGUAAGUCAUUCUUGCCAAGCCAAAGCAGAGAUGGAUUUGGAGACAGAAAUCCAUUUGGCGAUGGAGUUGAAGAUGGGGCAAAAGUGCACUGUUUGCUUUGGGUUGCCAGGGAAUUGAAAGCAAGGCUCUUAGCUUUGACUCCAGGUACAAAACAAGUACAGGAGUUGGAGUGUCAUAAAUUCCAGAGUUCCAAACUUUUGAUUUCAACGGCAUAAAAGGCGAGGACAGCAACUGCAGUCAAGACUCCAGAGUUUCAAUUUGAGGAUUCGGUGAGGUGAAGCUUGUAGCUAUGAUAGCUUUGGGAGACGGGGUCCGGCAUGUUCAUCGGGACGCUGCCCGGCAUGGUUCAUCGGAGACGCUGCUCCGGCAUGUUGUCGUCUUUGACAUCAUUGACACUCGGAGGUGCCGUUGUGGGGAGGGCCUGCAACAGAAAAGAAAGGUGGUGGAGAGCUAUGGAAUGAGGUCUGAACCUUUUGUCUUCCAAGCUGCUUUGCUGCUUUCUCCUUCUGUUUUUCCACCGCUGCUGUGCUCCGUUGCGUCCCCCUCACGCUGCCAUACUCCUCACGUCGGUCCUCCUCUUUUUUUGCUGUAGAGUCUCUCUUUAUAUAUAGGCAACUUGGGUUUGCCAAGAUGACGUGAUAGUGAUGGAGUUGGACUCAAACAUAUCAAGGUUGAGAGUUUGUGAUUAAUUUGGCAUUAAUAACUCUACCUUUAUCUGCUGAACGUGUACCCUUCAGCUUCAUUAAUUGUUGUAUUGUUCUACUUUCUCUCCUUUGUAAAGCUAGCGUAACCCAACAGUAGAUAAAGUUAAAAUAAACUUCUAGCAGCACCGUGCUUCUUUUACACUUUUUCCUU